UACGUAGGGGGCAAGCGUUGUCCGGAUUUAUUGGGCGUAAAGAGCGUGUAGGCGGCCAUGUAGGUCCGUUGUGAAAACUCGAGGCUCAACCUCGAGACGCCGAUGGAAACCAUGUGGCUAGAGUCCGGAAGAGGAGAGUGGAAUUCCUGGCGUAGCGGUGAAAUGACGCAGAUAUCAGGAAGAACACCCGUGGCUAAGGCGGCUCUCUAGUACGGUACUGACGCUGAGACGCGAAAGCGUGGGGAGCGAACAGG
rnacentral:rRNA from 1 species